GGAGGGGUGGCCGAGUGGUUGAAGGCGCACGCCUGGAAAGUGUGUAUGCGGGAAACCGUAUCGUGGGUUCGAAUCCCACUCCCUCCGCCA
rnacentral:tRNA from 1 species